CUCUCUCUCUCUCUCUCUCUCUCUCUCUCUCUCUCUCUCUCUCUCUCUCUCUCACUCUCUCUCUCUCUCUCUCUCUCUCUCUCUCUCUCUCUCUCUCUCUCUCUCUCUCUCUCUCUCUCUCACUUGUACCUGACAAGAGCUCCCCAUGGCCCACCACACCCACCUCGUGCCAUGGCCUUGUGAUCUUCCUGUGCCUGGCCAUCGCGGUGGUCACUCACUCCCCUUUUCUCACGACAACCUGUAGGAGAAAUUUGAGGCUUUAGAACUGUUGUCUCAGUUCAUGUAGCAUAGAAAUGUGAGUGUGUGUGUGUGGGUGUGCGUGUUUUACUUUUUCUUUUUUUUUUUUUUUUUUUGAGCACUGAGUUACAAUGACAUGAUUGAUCAUCAGUGAGACAAUGAACAUGUUUUAUGUAUUGCUGCUGCUAAUAGUCAUGAAAUAUUUCAUAAGUGUGGUUAAAGGCACUCGAAUUUCUCAAGGAUUACGUUAGUCCUCCUAGAAGUGCUUGUGAACGGUAGGAAUUUCUACUUUCGGUAUGGAAACAAGAUUGAUAUACUAAUGAUGAAAUAUUUCAUAUCUGGAGCUUAACUAGAUGAAUAUUUUGAAAGCUAUUGAGAAUUCUUUUAGAAGCGCUGUAAUUUCUACUUGUGUGUAUAGAAACAGGAUCAAGGAUAUGUGACUCUUCCUACUGAUGAGCCUGUCACGUACUCGUAGUGUGUGUGUGUGUGUGUGUGUGUGUGUGUGUGUGUGUGUGUGUGUGGGUGGGUGGGUGUGUUUGUGUGUGUGUCUUGCAGGUUACAACUGGUGCCUUUCUUUACAUUUCCUUGUUCUUACAUUUCUUUACUAUGUACAAUACGUAGGGUUUCAUCAGGUCAUAUCUAGAUCCAUUGAUAUUCAUAGAAAUUAAACUCACUUAGUUUCUUGAAUUCAUUGUGGAAUUUGAAUUGCGUGACAAUCAUGAUGUAAAAAUGUGUGUGGUGUUCUUAUUUCUUGGUGGUGUUCCUUUCUCGGGUGUUGGGCUGGCUGGGGGUGUCAGUGUCAGGCUCAAGGCAACAACACAAGCUCCACAACACACAAGGGAUCGCAACUUUUUUAGUCCACAAUAUUGCAACGGAUUUUUCUCUUAUUUUCAUUCCCUUUUCCCCAAGACUUGUUGGUGUUUGCCUGUCUGACUCUCACACUUUUGUUUCGAUGCUAUAACUUGGAGCUUGGAGUCUUUUUCGAUCCUUAUUACUUGUUUCCUUCAAAAAUGUAGGUAAUGAGCGUCCACGACUGAUAGUGAUCGCCAAAGGGUGUAAAUAAGUCUAUAGGUGUAAAGGAUGCCAGUUUUUGGUGCCUGACUAACCUCCCUCAGUAGCCCUGCGCUAGACAGUAGAGGAAAGUAGUACAUAAACAUUCGUCAUUCAAAAAUAGAAAUGCUUGAUAUACUGGCUUGCAAUCUACUCACUUUAUCAUCCACUACAUUACAAUUGUUAGUCUCCUUCUUUUAUAAUGCAUUAGGUAACAACUACAUCUACAUCGUUAUCCAACUGGUACUGUACACUGUUUACCACUGUCAUGAUUUUUGUGAAGAAUUUUUUCCUUUCUUUCUUUUCCUGAAUCUUUUCACAAAGGAAAGCUUGAUAGACGCUGAGAAGACUCCAGGAUUCCACAGUCUUGCCCACACCACUCCAGAUUUGCCACUUUUCUCUCCUAAGUUAGACCAAUUAAUCUUUCAGUGGCUAUUUUAACCUUCUUUAACUAUAAGAUGUACUGUGAUACACUUGACUUCAAGUACAACACUAAAUGUUGAUACAAUCACAAGUUUGUAUUUAGCAAUAACUCUGUUCCAAAACAUAUGAAUAAAAAAAUGAAGAGCAGAUUCCCUCAAACACUUUCUGUAAAUUGUUCAGAAAUAAAGAGAGAGAACUUGA